AUACGUAGGGUGCAAGCGUUAAUCGGAAUUACUGGGCGUAAAGCGUGCGCAGGCGGUUUUGUAAGACAGUGGUGAAAUCCCCGGGCUCAACCUGGGAACUGCCAUUGUGACUGCAAGGCUGGAGUGCGGCAGAGGGGGAUGGAAUUCAGCGUGUAGCAGUGGAAUGCGUAGAUAUGCGGAGGAACACCGAUGGCGAAGGCAAUCCCCUGGGCCUGCACUGACGCUCAUGCACGAAAGCGUGGGGAGCAAACAGGAUUAGAUACCCUGGUAGUCCACGCCCUAAACGAUGUCAACUGGUUGUUGGGGAUUUAUUUUCUCAGUAACGAAGCUAACGCGUGAAGUUGACCGCCUGGGGAGUACGGCCGAAAGGUUAAAACUCAAAGGAAUUGACGGG
rnacentral:rRNA from 1 species